NNNUGGUGCGAAGGUAGUGAGUUUUUUGUUUUACUUGUUCUCAGGCAGGUACUCAUCAAACUCCUUGUUCUAGUCUUUCCCUCCUUCUUACUACCGCUCCUGAGUAGUCUUAA
rnacentral:Y_RNA from 10 species